CUAUCCCCUCAACCCUCAAAUUAAGUGGACACUUCUGAUGACGUAUCAUGGCGUCUGAUGAGUUGAACUUGCAGGGCGAGGGAAGAAUUCAUUGAUUUUAAAUGGACCACUAUUGCCCGGAGCAUGCUAGGCUAUCACUCGUUCAUACCAAGGAUAUGUUUUCUGUCAUCAUGGAACUGUUAUGUGUGCCUUAUAUGCGCUACAGUCAAUUAUGAUUGCAUUUCAUAUCUUGGCUAGAAGACAACGCCUCCCUCCGCAGACAUCGAAUGUUAGCCAUCCUAGUAUAUCAGGCCCCGGAGUGAACAUAAUUGUACACUCGCAAACUCGAUCAAAAAUGAGGGCUGAGGGGCUUACGUUGUCAACUUUCCUUGAUUGGCUAAUCAUUUGGACCAACGACAAAGAUGGCCGCGGGGAUUCCCUCAAGUGCAUAAGGCGAGGGUAAGUGGAGGAGUGUGUGUCUUUUAUGAGUUUGAAACGCAGCCUCGGUCUUCCAUAAACACGAGCUGUAACAUGGAUAUAUGGCCGUGUGGGAACACUAGCCCUACCCCUACAAAGGUGAGUAUCAAUUUAACAAAAAUUAUUUAUCGCUGAUAUGAUCAUAUUGCUUAACAAAAGACAUGUGUAAGGCAAUGGAACAGAGUCAUGAUCAAGAGCUAGGGAAAGUCUAUAAUCAGGUUAAUUGACACACAAAGAUGAAUGUAAAAUGGCAGGAAUAUAAUUUGGUUAAUUUGUUUAAUCCAAAAGUAUUUAUUAUUGUUUGUUUUAUUAACCCUCUUUCAACUGCUAUGCAGUAGCCUACUGUUUGGAAGCAGUUGGGGUCAACUGUUACAUCGCAUGUUGUCCUCCCUCCAUCCAACCAGAUGACAAAGCAGUCUCUUAUCUACUCCAACACGCUGUACUACCGCUCCAGCAGUUCUGUCGUUAUUGUUCACACAGCAGUUGGUGUCCUUAAAAAUACUGAUUAAGGCCAGAGGCUAAAAUGACCUUUUUGCAUGUUCUUAUCUAUUUUGAGAUUUUUUAGUAUGUUGGUCCAUUAAUAUUAUUAUUAAAAAAUAAAAAGUUAAAAUGA